GUCAGCUCGUGUCGUGAGAUGUUGGGUUAAGUCCCGCAACGAGCGCAACCCUUGAUUUUAGUUGCCAGCAUUUAGUUGGGCACUCUAAAGUGACUGCCGGUGCAAGCCGGAGGAAGGUGGGGAUGACGUCAAAUCAUCAUGCCCCUUAUGACCUGGGCUACACACGUGCUACAAUGGAUAGUACAAAGGGUCGCGAAGCCGCGAGGUGGAGCUAAUCCCAUAAAACUAUUCUCAGUUCGGAUUGUAGGCUGCAACUCGCCUACAUGAAGCCGGAAUCGCUAGUAAUCGUGGAUCAGCAUGCCACGGUGAAUACGUUCCCGGGCCUUGUACACACCGCCCGUCACACCACGAGAGUUUGUAACACCCGAAGUCGGUAGGGUAACCUUUAUGGAGCCAGCCGCCGAAGGUGGGACAGAUAAUUGGGGUGAAGUCGUAACAAGGUAGCCGUAUCGGAAGGUGCGGCUGGAUCACCUCCUUUCUAAGGAA
rnacentral:rRNA from 1 species